UAGCUCAGUUGGUAGAGUGCUUGCCUCUCAUGCACAAGGCCCUGGGUUCAAUCCCCAG
rnacentral:tRNA from 1 species